UAAUACGAAGGGUGCGAGCGUUGUUCGGAAUUAUUGGGCGUAAAGCGCACGUAGGCGGCCUUGUAAGUCUGACUGUGAAAGUCCGGGGCUCAACCCCGGGAUUGCAGGGGAUACUGCGAGGCUUGAGACAAGUAGAGGUUGGUAGAAUUCCGGGUGUAGCGGUGGAAUGCGUAGAGAUCCGGAGGAAUACCAGAGGCGAAGGCGGCCAACUGGGCUUGUUCUGACGCUGAGGUGCGAAAGCGUGGGGAGCGAACAGGAUUAGAUACCCUGGUAGUCCACGCCGUAAACGAUGGGCACUAGAUGCCGGUGGGAACGACCCCAUCGGUGUCGAAGCUAACGCAUUAAGUGCCCCGCCUGGGGAGUACGGCCGCAAGGCUG
rnacentral:rRNA from 1 species